rnacentral:rRNA from 1 species
AGAGUUUGAUCCUGGCUCAGGACGAACGCUGGCGGCGUGCCUAAUACAUGCAAGUGGAACGCAUUGGUAACACCGGACUUGCUCCAGUGUUACUAAUGAGUCGCGAACGGGUGAGUAACGCGUAGGUAACCUGCCUGAUAGCGGGGGAUAACUAUUGGAAACGAUAGCUAAUACCGCAUAAGAGGAGUUAACUCAUGUUAACUGUUUAAAAGAAGCAAUGGCUUCACUAUCAGAUGGACCUGCGUUGUAUUAGCUAGUAGGUAGGGUAACGGCCUACCUAGGCAACGAUACAUAGCCGACCUGAGAGGGUGAUCGGCCACACUGGGACUGAGACACGGCCCAGACUCCUACGGGAGGCAGCAGUAGGGAAUCUUCGGCAAUGGACGCAAGUCUGACCGAGCAACGCCGCGUGAGUGAAGACGGUUUUCGGAUCGUAAAGCUCUGUUGUAGGGGAAGAACGUGUGUAAGAGUGGAAAGCUUACACAGUGACGGUACCCUACCAGAAAGGGACGGCUAACUACGUGCCAGCAGCCGCGGUAAUACGUAGGUCCCGAGCGUUGUCCGGAUUUAUUGGGCGUAAAGGGAGCGCAGGCGGUUUAGUAAGUCUGAAGUUAAAGGCAUUGGCUCAACCAAUGUAUGCUUUGGAAACUGUUAGACUUGAGUGCAGAAGGGGAGAGUGGAAUUCCAUGUGUAGCGGUGAAAUGCGUAGAUAUAUGGAGGAACACCGGUGGCGAAAGCGGCUCUCUGGUCUGUCACUGACGCUGAGGCUCGAAAGCGUGGGUAGCGAACAGGAUUAGAUACCCUGGUAGUCCACGCCGUAAACGCUGAGUGCUAGGUGUUAGGUCCUUUCCGGGACUUAGUGCCGACGCUAACGCAUUAAGCACUCCGCCUGGGGAGUACGACCGCAAGGUUGAAACUCAAAGGAAUUGACGGGGCCCGCACAAGCGGUGGAGCAUGUGGUUUAAUUCGAAGCAACGCGA